AUGGACCAAUACAACCGCGAACC
rnacentral:miRNA from 16 species